UUCUGAAGUGGCAGAAAUAUGCAUCAAAUUUAAGCUUUGAAGAUGGGAUUUGCCCCUUUAGUAG
rnacentral:tRNA from 1 species